UACGUAGGGUGCAAGCGUUAAUCGGACUUACUGGGCGUAAAGCGUGCGCAGGCGGUUGUGCAAGACAGAUGUGAAAUCCCCGGGCUCAACCUGGGAAUUGCAUUUGUGACUGCACGGCUAGAGUGUGUCAGAGGGGGGUAGAAUUCCACGUGUAGCAGUGAAAUGCGUAGAGAUGUGGAGGAAUACCGAUGGCGAAGGCAGCCCCCUGGGAUAACACUGACGCUCAUGCACGAAAGCGUGGGGAGCAAACAGG
rnacentral:rRNA from 1 species